rnacentral:rRNA from 1 species
UACAGAGGGGGCCAGCGUUAUUCGGAAUUAUUGGGCGUAAAGGGCGCGUAGGCGGCUUUGCGUGUCUUUCGUGAAAUCCCUCGGCUCAACUGAGGACGUGCGGAAGAAACUGCAGGGCUGGAGUCCGGGAGAGGAGGGUGGAAUUCCCAGUGUAGCGGUGAAAUGCGUAGAUAUUAGGAAGAACACCAGUGGCGAAGGCGGCUCACUGGCCCGGUACUGACGCUGAGGCGCGAAAGCGUGGGGAGCAAACAGG